rnacentral:rRNA from 1 species
AACGGGGGGAGCUAGUGUUAUUCAUCUUAACUGGGCGUAAAGGGCGCGUAGGCGGCGGGGCAAGUCGGGUGUGAAAUCUCAGGGCUCAACCCUGAAACUGCACUCGAUACUGCUCUGCUUGAGGACUGGAGAGGAGACUGGAAUUCACGGUGUAGCAGUGAAAUGCGUAGAUAUCGUGAGGAAGACCAGUGGCGAAGGCGGGUCUCUGGACAGUCCCUGACGCUGAGGCGCGAAGGCCAGGGGAGCAAACGGG